rnacentral:lncRNA from 1 species
AUGGCACCCCGCCCCUUUCAGGACGCCCCGCCCCCGCCUCUUCGAGACCCGCAGGUUGGGAGGAAUGCAUUUCCUCCCUGUUGGAUCAUUCGCGCCCUGACCCUCAGCUGGAAUGUCUUGUCCCGUUUUCCUGGGGGAUUGAAUUCGGACUCACUGAACCUGCAGGUUCCGUCUUGAAAACUGAAGGGGAUAAAUUUGGAGGUCCUGCUCAUGUCUCCUCUCAAGCUGAGCUCAGCCUCGUCCCGUUUGCGGCCGAUGCUGUGUUUCCUGCUCGCUGUCCUGUUGCUGUCCUCGGAGGUCCACGGUCAGGGUAAUGUUACUGCACUGACGUGUAUGUAGGAACAUGUUCAGUCUAAACUUCUAUCUAUUUGAUUUUAAUAUAAUGGGAUAAUCAUAAAUGAUUUACAAUGGAAAAACGAUUA